rnacentral:rRNA from 1 species
GAUCCUGGCUCAGGACGAACGCUGGCGGCGCGCCUAACACAUGCAAGUCGAACGGAAUCAAGAGGAGCUUGCUUUUCUUGAUUUAGUGGCGAACGGGUGAGUAACGCGUGAGUAACCUGCCCUGGAGUGGGGGACAACAGUUGGAAACGACUGCUAAUACCGCAUAAGCCCACGGUACCGCAUGGCACUGAGGGAAAAGGAUUUAUUCGCUUCAGGAUGGACUCGCGUCCAAUUAGAUAGUAGGCGGGGUAACGG